GACGAACGCUGGCGGUGUGCUUAACACAUGCAAGUCAACGAGAAUUUUAUCUUCGGAUAAAUACUAAAGUGGCGAACGGGUGAGUAACGCGUAAAUAACUUGCCUUGGAGAUUGGGACAACAUUGGGAAACCAGUGCUAAUACCAAAUAAUGCAACAAGCCCUUCGGGGCAUAUUGUUAAAGUAGGCUUCGGCUUACACUUCAAGAUAGAUUUGCGUCCGAUUAGUUAGUUGGUAGAGUAAUAGCCUACCAAGACUGAGAUCGGUAGCUGGUCUGAGAGGAUGAUCAGCCACACUGGAAUUGAGAUACGGUCCAGACUCCUACGGGAGGCAGCAGUGAGGAAUUUUGCACAAUGGGCGAAAGCCUGAUGCAGCAACACCGCGUGAUUGAUGAAGUUUUUAGGAAUGUAAAAAUCUGUCGUAAGUGAAGAAAUGUUUCGGAUGUUAAUACCAUCUGUCAUUGACGGUAACUUACAAGAAAGGACCGGCUAACUUCGUGCCAGCAGCCGCGGUAAUACGGAGGGAUCGAACGUUAAUCGGAAUUACUGGGCGUAAAGCGCGCGUAGGUGGUUUGUUAAGUGGGAUGUGAAAGCCCCGGGCUCAACCUGGGAACUGCAUUCCAAACUGACAAACUAGAGUACGAUAGAGGGGG
rnacentral:rRNA from 1 species